rnacentral:rRNA from 1 species
GACGAACGCUGGCGGCGUGCCUAAUACAUGCAAGUCGAACGCACAGUUUAUACCGUAGCUUGCUCCACUAUAAACUGUGAGUUGCGAACGGGUGAGUAACGCGUAGGUAACCUGCCUGGUAGCGGGGGAUAACUAUUGGAAACGAUAGCUAAUACCGCAUAAUAUUGAUUAUUGCAUGGUUAUUGAUUGAAGGAUGCUAUUGCAUCACUACCAGAUGGACCUGCGUUGUAUUAGCUAGUAGGUGAGGUAACGGCUCACCUAGGCGACGAUACAUAGCCGACCAGAGAGGGGGAGAGGCCACACUGGGACGGGGACACGGCCCAGAAUACUGCGGGAGGGAGAAGUAGGGAACCUUCAGGAAUGGACGAAAGGCUGAACGAGCAACGCCGCGUGAGAGAAGGAGGUUGUCGGAUCGUAAAGCUCUGUUGUAAGAGAAGAACGGGAGUGAGAGUGGAAAGUGCACACUGUGACGGUAUCUUAACAAAAAGCGACGGCUAACUACGUG